UUCGGCAGAAAUAANCGAUGGAUAGCGGCGGACGGGUGAGUAACGCGUANGUAAGCUGCCCCAUGCNGCGGGAUAGCCUAGGGAAACCUGGAUUAAUACCGCAUAAUGCAGCGGAUUCACAUGGGUCUGCUGCCAAAGAUUUAUCGGCAUGGGAUGCACCUGCGUCUGAUUAGAUAGUUGGUAGGGUAACGGCCUACCAAGUCAACGAUCAGUAGCCGACCUGAGAGGGUAAUCGGCCACAUUGGAACUGAGACACGGUCCAAACUCCUACGGGAGGCAGCAGUGGGGAAUAUUGCACAAUGGGCGCAAGCCUGAUGCAGCAACGCCGCGUGAGUGAUGAAGGUCUUCGGGUCGUAAAACUCUGUCCUUGGGGAAGAAGGAAGUGACGGUACCCAAGGAGGAAGCCCCGGCUAACUACGUGCCAGCAGCCGCGGUAAUACGUAGGGGGCGAGCGUUAUCCGGAAUUACUGGGCGUAAAGAGUACGUAGGUGGCGCGAUAAGCGAGUGGUGAAAGCCCGGGGCUUAACUCCGGCGAGCCAUUCGAACUGUCGUGCUUGAGUGCUGGAGGGGAAAGUGGAAUUCCUAGUGUAGCGGUGAAAUGCGUAGAUAUUAGGAGGAACACCGGUGGCGAAGGCGACUUUCUGGACAGUAACUGACACUGAGGUACGAAAGCGUGGGGAGCAAACAGGAUUAGAUACCCUGGUAGUCCACGCUGUAAACGAUGA
rnacentral:rRNA from 1 species